AGCGGCCGCGCCUCCGUUCCCAAACUCUCAAUGGUGCAGACGUAUCUCGCUCGUGUACGCGCGUCAAAAAUUUUCCUGGCCUGGCAAGUGGUCGCACAUCCUAUUCAAAUCCUUCGUCGCAGCAAGCGCGAAUCGUCGAUAAAGUCGCGCGAGCCAGAUACAGUCUCACCAUUUGAGAUGGCGGAUUCACAUGAAGAGACAGGGAUAAAGAGAGACAAAGAAUUGCUGUAAUGCAGGUUCAAGCCAGGAUUAUCUCGGGAGAUGAUUCCGUUUCGCACUCCGUCCUUCAUUGUAUAGCAGCCUCUCAUCGGACUGGUUCGGUAAACUGUAUCGAAACCAUUUUCUCUUGAAGUUUCCAAACUAGUCGAUUAAUUUUUUAUACAGUAUUUAUAGAGAACGGAGAAAAAGACUAAAUAAUUUUAUAUAAAGCUAUUUGUACAUUUCUUGUAAAGUUACAUCAGUAUUGUAAUUACAUUGUGAUAAUGUUUCCAAAGAAUUUAAGUUUUUGUGUAAUAAUUUUUGAAAAGAUGUAACUAGCAAAAAGAAAUUAGGAAAAUUAAUCAUUUGUAAAUUGAAAUUUUUUGUAUAAAGUUGCUGAUUUUUUUUUUUUUUUUUUUUUCGUGUUUGUAAAAUUUGAUACACAGCCUACCAAACCUUAGCAUAUUAGUAUAAAUUUCUAUAAAACUACACUGUUAAGGAUGAAUGCAACAAGGAAGAUGAUCUCAUGUAAAUAUCUAAACCAUUGUGAUAUUUCAAAUUUUUUUUACUGUAUAAGAUACUUAAAUAAAAAACUGUGAUCUAGAAUUUUUAUAUGUUAGAAGAGGAAGUUGUUACAAAGACGUAUGAAAAUAAAUAUGUUUUGCAAGUAACCCAAGUAAAACCAUUUUUCUUUCUUAAUUUCUCUGUUUAUAUAUGCGUGACAAAGUAUUAAUAUGUGUACUGUGUCGAUCCUUUUCAGUAUGCUGAAUAGAGUCCUAAGAACUUAGAAGGUUGUCGACAAGAUCGUCGUCGUUGGCGGCGACGGCGGCGGCGGCGGCAGCUUAAAAACGUACCUAUAAGAUCGCAGUAAAACGGAAAGCGAACAAGGCAAGCGAGGGGUAGUAUAUUCUUAUCUCAAUGAAAAGGGAAGGGAAAAGUCUUUGCUUUUAGAGGAGGGAGGCAUCCUAGCAAGCGUGCAAACUUGGAUCGAUGACCACAGGCCUUGUACUGUUGGCGAUUUUUACCGCAAGAACAACAUUAAAGGGCUUUGUUCCGUAGCUACACAUACGAAUACUUUAUUUCACCAAUUAAAAUCAAAUUGAUCGAUUUGGAAUCUAUUUAAAAUUUAAAUGUAAAUUCGUUCCUAUGUGAUAGUUGCACCCUGAACGAGGAACGGCGCAUGGCUCACUAGAUCACUAGCCGCUAUAACACCAAACACGUCAUAACUGCAAAACAUUGAGAAGCGUCUCGCGUAGUGAGCUUCUAUUUUACCUCAGACGACCAGGUGUGUUCCCAAAUUCAUAAUAAUCAAUUCUCAUUGAAACAAGAUUUGUUUCCAAUUUAUAUGGAGAUUCGGCCAUGCCAAGAGUCGUACGUACACCUCGUGUAAGGUAAUUUAACCAUGCAAACAUGGGAAUCUAUUAAGAAAAAAAAAUUGCCGACAUGCUUUUUCCUCUAACAUAUAUAUGCGUUUGUUGUCAUAAUAUAUUUUGAUAAAUUUCAUCAUUUUUGGUCAUGUCAAGACCCCCGUCCCAUCUAGGAUAGGAUGUUAAUUCAUAUGUUCUAGAGUUUGAAGAUGAGUAUGUUUGAAGAAUGUGAAGUAUUAUUGAAGAUUCCGAACAAAUGUAGAGAACGCGAUAGGAUGUUAAUGCAUAUGUUCUAGAGUUUGAAGCUGAGUAUGUGUUUGGAGACUGAAAUAUUGAAGAUUCUAAAACAGAUGUGGGGAAUGCGAUAAAUUGCUGGCGGGAGAGUAAAUGUGUAAAGAGACGUAUGUUAUAUUAGUGUGAUUUAUAUGUAUAUAUUCAGAACAGAAGAAGGAAAUAUUAGGUUGUCUCACUCUUCGGUAACAUUGAUCUCAAUCUAAGUAGAAAUAUGUUUAUUAUUACCAAUAGAUAAUUUGUGCUUUUUAAUGUCUUUUUUUUUCCAAGUGUAUUGUCGAGUUUAUCUGUAGAAUCUGAAGAUUCGAGGAUCUAACAACCCCCGGAAAAAAAAAACUCAAGCGUUCAGGAAUUCCAAGGGCUCUUCCCGUCUCUAGGAAUAUCUAGAAAAACUAUCCAAAGCUUUCGGAAUUAAGACAUCUUGAAAUUUAGAAAACUCAAAAUUUAGCACUGGAAGGAAAAUGGAUAACUUGCACUGAGGAAAAAUAGUAUAGGAAUGAAAAACACCUAAGUAGCACACAUAAUACAGAUGAGAUUGAUUGUGGUUUCCAUAUAUAUAUAUAUAUGUUUAUAUAUAUAUAUACUUGGGGGAGGGGGGGGUUUCUCAUGUGUAGAAGAAUUGUUUCGUUGUAGAGAAACAAUAUCGUGAAAAGAAAAUCGGUUUGGUGUUGAAGAGGAUCGGAUCGACCCUUGCUCGGAUAGAUGUGCAGAGGCUAUUAAAGCGGGAAAAUCGGGCUUGGAAAUCUCUCGGAAAUUUUCACGGGCUGAUCUCCUUCCGGAAAAAUCACGAAUCAUCAAGGUGUUCACUUUGUUUGCUAAUAGAAAUGUCAAAGAAGACGUAGGUCUGAGCAGUUCCUAGUAUUUCGGAGUUCACUUCACAAUGAUGGUAGACGAGUUCCCCUUUUUUAACGCAUGCGCGACAACACGGCGGUGACAUGCGUGAAGUGGCAUACAGUCUUGCCGGGCCCCGAUCUACAGAUAAAAGAGAGGUUAAGAGGAACUAAAUCUGUACUUUCUAUUUGCUUUCACUGCGUAUGCGACACCGGCCCACUUAAAACUGUAUAGAUUUCUUGCUGUCCUGUAUAAAUGAAUCCGCAUACCGCCAGUAAGAGAGGAAGUUGUCGGGAAGUUCUACCAAUUUUUAAGAUGAUCCGUGGAUCGAUAUAGGCUGUAGAGCUAUCAAGAAACAGGUCAUUCGUCAGAUGUAAGUUCGUGUUACACCCACCAUGCAAAAAUAUCAUCACAAUUGGCAAGAGGCUGCUUUUGAUCGUAACCAAAGUGAAGUGCAACAUUCACAACUCUCGAAGAAAAUGACGGUUGCGGCUUCAAACUCGGAAGAUAUCAUCAACAGAAGAUCAUUCCUGUUAGACGAGCUUCUCAUUUGAUGGAAUCAUCACUUAAAGAUUAAAUUAUCCGAAGAUUUUGUUUCUUAUAGACCAACAACUAACUUCUAUUAUAUGGAUCAUCGCUUAAAGAUUUAAAAUUAUCCGAAGAUUGUUUCUUAGACGAACUUCUAUUAUAUAUAGAUAAAUCACUUUUGAAGAUUAGAUUGUCCGAAGAUUGUUUCUUAUAGACCGAACUUCUAUUAUAUGGAUCAUCACUUAAAGAUUAAAUUAUCCGAAGAUUGUUUCUUAGACGAACUUCUAUUAUAUAGAUAAUCACUCGAAGAUCAGAUUGUCCAAAGAUGAUUCCUGGUACGUGAUGACAUCAAUUGAAGAUCUAUUUUUAGUAGACGAGCUUUUUACGUUAGAAGAAGAAUCAUCAUUGAAGAUUAUAUUAUCUGAAGAUCGUUUCUGGCAGAGAACUUCACAACUAUUGUAUUCUAUCAUCGCUUAAAGAUUUGUACUAUUUGAAGAUUGCUCUUAUUAAAUUUGUUGUUAGAAAUUUCUCGUGAAAAAUCAGUGAAAUUAUAAGUGAAAGUACGAAACAUUGCUGAAUAUAUAUUUCCAGUAUAAAUCAAACUUUUUACUAAAAGUAACUUGCUAUUUUAAUACGUAUUUUAUACCGAAGUUUUUAUUGACGUUUUCGUUGUAUAAUAUGAAAUUUUACAGGACGAAAGUGAUAUAGAUUUAUAUCAACUGUUAUAGAUUUCAACAUAUAAUUCAGUAAUGUUUCAGUAAAAUAUUUUUCUAUCAAAGUGUAUGUGAGUGAGUGAGUGUGUGUGUGUGUGUGUGUGUGUGUGUGUGUGU